rnacentral:rRNA from 1 species
UAAGGCGGCCACAGCGGCGAGGUAACACCCGUACCCAUCCCGAACACGGAAGUUAAGCUCGCCAGCGUGUCGGGGAGUACUGGAGUGCGCGAGCCUCUGGGAAACGCGAUUCGCCGCCUGCC